GAUGAACGCUGGCGGCGUGCCUAAUACAUGCAAGUCGAGCGAAUGGGUUAAGAGCUUGCUCUUAUGAAGUUAGCGGCGGACGGGUGAGUAACACGUGGGUAACCUGCCCAUAAGACUGGGAUAACUCCGGGAAACCGGGGCUAAUACCGGAUAACAUUUUGAACCGCAUGGUUCGAAAUUGAAAGGCGGCUUCGGCUGUCACUUAUGGAUGGACCCGCGUCGCAUUAGCUAGUUGGUGAGGUAACGGCUCACCAAGGCAACGAUGCGUAGCCGACCUGAGGGGGUGAUCGGCCACAAGGGGACUGAGACACGGCCCAGACUCCUACGGGAGGCAGCAGUAGGGAAUCUUCCGCAAUGGACGAAAGUCUGACGGAGCAACGCCGCGUGAGUGAUGAAGGCUUUCGGGUCGUAAAACUCUGUUGUUAGGGGAGAACAAGUGCUAGUUGAAUAAGCUGGCACCUUGACGGUACCUAACCAGAAAGCCACGGCUAACUACGUGCCAGCCGCCGCAGUAA
rnacentral:rRNA from 1 species